AGGACGAACGCUGGCGGCGUGCUUAACACAUGCAAGUCGAGCGGAAAGGCCCCUUCGGGGGUACUCGAGCGGCGAACGGGUGAGUAACACGUGAGUAACCUGCCUCUGGCUUUGGGAUAACCCUCGGAAACGGGGGCUAAUACCGAAUAUUCAGUCUGACCGGCAUCGGUUGGGUUGGAAAGUUUUUCGGCUGGGGAUGGGCUCGCGGCCUAUCAGCUUGUUGGUGGGGUAAUGGCCUACCAAGGCGUCGACGGGUAGCC
rnacentral:rRNA from 1 species